rnacentral:piRNA from 1 species
UCAGCAUUCAGGAGUGUGAGCUGGGGCUG